rnacentral:sRNA from 2 species
GGAAUUUAACCUUUAUGUGAGUGGACGUAGGCGAGUGCUUGAUGAUGAAUACAUUAAUAUACUACUUCUAACUAUAAAAAAAAAAAUUGAAAUAUAAUAUUCUCCAUAGAAACUGCACUUCUAUUACACUUUUGAAUUCUUUGUGCGGUACAAAAACGAAUAUUAAGAAUACUCUUUACCAUACCUUCAGCCCUCCGACGGUUGACAACCUGAUCAAAUAAGCUCAAACACACCCAGCGACUAUCAGUUGCUCAGCAACCCAUACUCUUCAGAGCUCAUAGGCAUCUGUGAGCCCUGUGGCAUAACAGAACUGAAGAAUCUAUCCAUCAUACUGGAAGAACAAUGAUGGGGGAAAAAAAAGGAAAAGCUAACUUUCAUUCAGUGAGCUUCGAAUCGACGGGUUCGACAUAAAACGCCACUGGAUAGCAACACCGACAACAACCCCACUUGUGUUGAAUAAAACUGUCAGCUUUUCUCCCUUCUAAAUUGCGCUGCAUAUUUCGUGGAUCUAAUAAUUAGUAUUCAAGCUGGCCAUGAGCGUCGAAUUGGUUCCAGCGAACCCCUAGAUAAUGGAUAAUCGAGUUUACAACAUCACUCUUGAGCCAGCCAAACACUUACCAGCAUCGCCCUACUUAUAUUAUCUCUUGACCCAGCGUAUAAUUUCAACGUAGUAGUACCUCAUAUCCGAAAUGCAGAGGGUCGAGGAGUUUCUCUUGUGGUCUUGCCGGAGUACCACCUAACAGGUCUGGUACCUGAUUGUCCCGCAUUUGUCUCCCCUCGCUUCAAAAGCGUGGGGUUAAGAGGUUCCAAAAGCUUUGGGCAUCAGCCUGGCACACUCGUCACGACGGAUCCAAACUCACUGAUCCGAAAACGGCACGUGAGAUAUCGAGACUUCCCUCGGUGGAGGCGACUUAUUGAACUUGCAUCUUUUAUGUCACACACCGGCGAAUUGCUGUGAUUAUAUAAAAGUCAAACUACGGCUGCCGGAGCGUGGAUAUCUCUAUCUCCUCCGGGACCUUUGCUAAGAGAAGACCAGCAACUCAUGAACCGCAGGGCAGCAGCCGCUAUAGUGUCAUCAAAACACCCUUAGGCCAGGUGGGACUUGUGACUUUUCCGGAAGCGUUCCGUGCUGUGACCUGCCAGGGGGCACGGAUAAUAAUCAUACCCGGCUUUUGGUUGAACACAGAAUACCAAUCGAAGCACGUAAAUGUAAUGAAGAUACUGAAUGUACAGUACAUUCAUGAAAAUACCUGCGCCAUCGCAUCCUGCAACGCUGGGAGUCUGUCGGAAGAAGGCUAUAUAGAGUUGAGCCAAGUGGCAUUUCCAUUUUGUGUUUUUCCGAGUAGUUUUGAGGUCCUGAGAAUGGGAUACGGAUUGUGAAGGUUGAUAUGAAUACCGUAGCCGUUGCUGAGAGGGCUUAUGGGGUUAGGGUAGAUAUUGCGAAGCUUGGUUGGCAUUACGGGG